rnacentral:rRNA from 1 species
GAUGAACGCUGGCGGCGUGCUUAACACAUGCAAGUCGAACGAGAAAUGAUAUUACGAUCUCUUCGGAGUGAUGAUUUUAUUUCGAGUGGCGGACGGGUGAGUAACGCGUGAGCAACCUGCCCUGUACCGGGGGAUACCAGUUGGAAACGACUGUUAAUACCGCAUAAGCGCACGAUAAGACAUCUUGUUGUGUGAAAAACUCCGGUGGUAUAGGAUGGGCUCGCGUAUGAUUAGCCAGUUGGCGGGGUAAAGGCCCACCAAAGCGACGAUCAUUAGCCGACCUGAGAGGGCGACCGGCCACAUUGGGACUGAGACACGGCCCAAACUCCUACGGGAGGCAGCAGUGGGGAAUAUUGCACAAUGGGCGAAAGCCCUGAUGCAGCGACGCCGCGUGAGUGAGGAAAGUAUUUUCGGUAUGUAAAAGCUCUAUCAAGCCAGGGAA